GAUGAACGCUGGCGGCGUGCCUAAUACAUGCAAGUCGAGCGAACGGACGAGAAUCUUGCUUCUCUGAUGUUAGCGGCGGACGGGUGAGUAACACGUGGAUAACCUACCUAUAAGACUGGGAUAACUUCGGGAAACCGUAGCUAAUACCGGAUAAUAUUUUGAACCGCAUGGUUCAAAAGUGAAAGACGGUCUUGCUGUCACUUAUAGAUGGAUCCGCGCUGCAUUAGCUAGUUGGUAAGGUAACGGCUUACCAAGGCAACGAUGCAUAGCCGACCUGAGAGCGUGAUCGGCCACACUGGAACUGAGACACGGUCCAGACUCCUACGGGAGGAAGCAGUAGGGAAUCUUGCGCAAUGGGCGAAAGCCUGACGGAGCAACGCCGCGUGAGUGAUGAAGGUCUUCGGAUCGUAAAACUCUGUUAUUAGGGAAGAACAUAUGUGUAAGUAACUGUGCACAUCUUGACGGUACCUAAUCAGAAAGCCACGGCUAACUACGUG
rnacentral:rRNA from 1 species